CAUAUAACCAUGAGUUUCCUCACUUCCCCACCAUGAGGAUGGAAGGAGGAGAGGCAAAUGUUCAAGAAGAACCAUGGAGAAGCCAGUGAAGAACACAAACACACAUGUGAAUGUGCACAGGAAAUAGAACUGGCACAGGACACCAUUCCAUCCCAUCAUUGUCCCUUCCUCUCUCCCUGAGAGCCAAAUGUUUCUCCAACCCCUGAAGAUAAGGACAUUGAAGGUAAGAGCUCUGUCUUAUUAAGCAUUUAAGCAUCCUUCAUUUC
rnacentral:lncRNA from 1 species